AUUGAACGCUGGCGGCAUGCCUUACACAUGCAAGUCGAACGGCAGCGGGGGAGAAGCUUGCUUUUCCUGCCGGCGAGUGGCGAACGGGUGAGUAAUACAUCGGAACGUGCCCUGUAGUGGGGGAUAACUAGUCGAAAGAUUAGCUAAUACCGCAUACGACCUGAGGGUGAAAGUGGGGGACCGCAAGGCCUCAUGCUAUAGGAACGGCCGAUGUCUGAUUAGCUAGUUGGUGGGGUAAAGGCCUACCAAGGCGACGAUCAGUAGCUGGUCUGAGAGGACGAGCAGCCAGACUGGGACUGAGACACGGCCCAGACUCCUACGGGAGGCAGCAGUGGGGAAUUUUGGACAAUGGGCGAAAGCCUGAUCCAGCAAUGCCGCGUGUGUGAAGAAGGCCUUCGGGUUGUAAAGCACUUUUGUCCGGAAAGAAAUGGCUCUGGUUAAUACCUGGGGUCGAUGACGGUACCGGAAGAAUAAGGACCGGCUAACUACGUGCCAGCCGCCGCCGUAA
rnacentral:rRNA from 1 species